rnacentral:rRNA from 1 species
UUAAAUUGAAGAGUUUGAUCAUGGCUCAGAUUGAACGCUGGCGGCAGGCCUAACACAUGCAAGUCGAACGGUAACAGGAAACAGCUUGCUGUUUCGCUGACGAGUGGCGGACGGGUGAGUAAUGUCUGGGAAACUGCCUGAUGGAGGGGGAUAACUACUGGAAACGGUAGCUAAUACCGCAUAACGUCGCAAGACCAAAGAGGGGGACCUUCGGGCCU